UACAGAGGGGGCAAGCGUUGUUCGGAAUUAUUGGGCGUAAAGGGCUCGUAGGCGGUUUGUCGCGUCGGGAGUGAAAACACCGGGCUUAACUCGGUGCUUGCUUUCGAUACGGGCAGACUAGAGGUAUGCAGGGGGAGAACGGAAUUCCUGGUGUAGCGGUGAAAUGCGCAGAUAUCAGGAGGAACACCGGUGGCGAAGGCGGUUCUCUGGGCAUGUCCUGACGCUGAGGAGCGAAAGUGUGGGGGAGCGAACAGG
rnacentral:rRNA from 1 species